AAAGGUAAUACUUAUUCUAUUUGGCGGCCUUUUAUCUUCUUAGAGGAAUUUGUUAUAUAAUCGAUAAUAAGCGUUAAUUUUUACUUUUUUUACGCUUUUAUACCGCUGUCUAAAGAUCAAAAUUAAUCUUUUUGCUCAUAAUGGUUAGAUCAUUCAAGUCAAGUCAAGGUGAAGCAAUAAAACAGUAUUAAUAAAUUAUUCAUUAACUUUAUUAAAGGAUUUUUACAAAAAUGUCAAAUGAAUUAAGAUCUAUAAGUAUUAAAAAGUUAAUCUCUUUUUAUGAAAAAGAAAAAAAGGUGUACACAUCGCCCGUCGCUCUUA
rnacentral:rRNA from 1 species